AUUUAUUGUAUUUUUAAAGGAGGGCAUUGAUCCAGAGGUGUGGGCGUAUCAAAGUGUACAAUCUAAUAUCAGUAGCAGGCCAGCAUCAGGGAGUGUAUGGAUUCCCAUUCUGUCUAGGAGAGACCAGCUGGUUCUGUGAUUUAUUCAGACAGUUCCUAAGCAUUGGAGUAUACCUCACCAUAUUUCAAGACAAUAUAGUCCAAGCUUCAUAUUGGCAUGAUCCUCAUGAUGAAGAAAGCUAUCAGUUGGAUUCACUCUUUCUCUCUGAUAUCAAUCAAGAGCUGGUUUUUAAUCCAUCAUAUAAGGAGAGGCUUUCCAGUAUCAGUAACUUUCUAUUGAUAAAGUUUGAGACCGACAUGAUGGUCCAGCCAAGAGAGACACAAGUAAUAAAUUAUUCACCUCAAA